UGAAUACGAGAUGCUACGGCAUUGAAGUAGUGUAUGUCAGACUUCCAAGAAAAGCUCGCAAUGUCAUAAAUAAAUAAUGCCUGUACCAUAACCGACACAGGUGGGUAGGUAGAGUAUACUAAGGGGCGCGAGAUAACUCUCUCUAAGGAACUCGGCAAAAUGACUCCGUAACUUCGGGAGAAGGAGUGCCUCAUUUAUGAGGUUGCAAUAACAAGAUCCAAGCAACUGUUUACCAAAAACACAGGUCUCCGCUAAGUCGUAAGACGAUGUAUGGGGGCUGACGCCUGCCCAGUGCCAGAAGGUUAAAGAAGUUGGUUAGCAUCCGCGAAGCUGAUAACUGAAGCCCUGGUGAACGGCGGCCGUAACUAUAACGGUCCUAAGGUAGCGAAAUUCCUUGUCGGGUAAGUUCCGACCCGCACGAAAGGCGUAAUGAUUUGGAUUCUGUCUCAGAGAGGGACUCGGUGAAAUAGACUUGUCUGUGAAGAUGCGGACUACCUGCACAGGACAGAAAGACCCUAUGAAGCUUUACUGUAACUUGAAAUUGAAAUUGGACUUUAGUUGCGCAGUAUAGGUGGGAGGCGUUGAGUUUAUUCUUGCGGGAAUUUAGGAGCCAUCAGUGAGAUACCACUCUGCUAAUGUUAGAUUUCUAACUUUGCAUCAUAAUCUGGUCAAAGAACAGUUUCAGGCGGGCAGUUUGACUGGGGCGGUCGCCUCCUAAAUGGUAACGGAGGCGUACAAAGGUUUCCUCUGAACGUGUAGAAAUCGUAUCUAGAGUAUAAAGGCAUAAGGAAGCUUGACUGUGAGACUUACAAGUCGAGCAGGGACGAAAGUCGGUCUUAGUGAUCUGACGGUGCUGAGUGGAAAGGCCGUCACUCAACGGAUAAAAGUUACUCUAGGAUAACAGGCUGAUCUCCCCCAAGAGCUCACAUCGACGGGGAGGUUUGGCGCCUCGAUGUCGGCUCAUCGCAUCCUGGGGCGGUAGUACGUCCCAAGGGUUGGGCUGUUCGCCCAUGAAAGCGGUACGCGAGCUGGGUUCAGAACGUCGUGAGACAGUUCGGUCCAUAUCCGGUGUAGGCGUUAGAAUAUUGAGAGGAGCCUUCUUUAGUACGAGAGGACCGAGAAGGACAUACCUCUGGUGUACCAGUUAUCGUGCCAACGGUAAACGCUGGGUAGCUAUGUAUGGAGUGGAUAACCGCUGAAAGCAUCUAAGUGGGAAGCCCACCUCAAGAUAAGUAUUCUCAUCACGUAAGUGAGUAAGGUCACGGUAAGACUAACCGUUUAAUAGGCAUCAAGUGUAAAUGUAGUAAUAUAUGAGCUGAGAUGUGCUAACAGGCCGAGGACUUGA
rnacentral:rRNA from 1 species